GACGAGGGGUCCUAGCGUUGCUCGGAAUCAUUGGGCGUAAAGCGGGUGUAGGCGGCUUCAUAAGUCAGUUGUGAAAGCCCCAAGUUCAACUUGGGAAGUGCUUCUGAUACUGUGAGGCUUGAGUAUGGGAGAGGGCAGUAGAAUUCCUGGUGUAGUGGUGAAAUACGUAGAUAUCAGGAGGAACACCAAUGGCGAAGGCAGCUCGCUGGAACGGUACUGACGCUGAGGCGCGAAAGCGUGGGGAGCGAACAGG
rnacentral:rRNA from 1 species